GUUACAGGUGUAAACCCUUCCUUUUUAAAGGACAUUGCUUUAUGUGUCAAAUAACCCUUACUUGCAGUGUGAUUCACAAUCGAAAAUCCUUGAGGGACUUGGACGUGGGCCCAGAGCAAUUGGGAAGACAAAUACUAGUGUGAGAGCAGUGUUGGAAGCAAUUCUGGCAUCACGACUCCCUGGAGCCUGCAAAACUCAUGUAGAUUUGACUUCUUCAGAGGAAUUUGGUGUGAUACCUUACAAUUUGGCUGAGGCGGGCAUUUUUCAUACAAAAUCAGGAACAAGUGCGAUGUCACAAACAACAUAUGCACAGUUCAGUGGCUGGGGAGAGCCAGCAGCCUGAGUCCUACAUGGAGGCUGUCAGGACACACCAGAAAACUGAUUCCCACAUGUCUGGCAAAGCCAGGGGCUUCAGGCUUGGAUGGUUUUGCUCCAGUCCAUGGGCGAUACUCUUGUCUGAAAUGAGAUUGUCAAGACAGAAGAACUUGUAAAAGACAACAUUAUCACAGGGUACUUCUGCUCAGAGUGGCUGCAAAGCCAGAAGGCAAGGUGGGAUGCAAUCAGCUUGCAAGGCUGACCUUCUGUGAUGCAAACCAAGAAUAAAAGAACUGAGCCUAGCA
rnacentral:lncRNA from 1 species